UUGAACAACAAAGAAGGGCUUAUUUGGCAUCAUACCAUUGGUUGAAGUGAUGUGGAAAUUUCUGAUUGCUUGGAGAGCCUUGGCCGUCCCCUAUAUAUACCCUCCUAUUCUUGACGUUAAGGGGGUUCCACACUUUAGAAUUUUCAGAAAAUUACUUUCAUAAACGUCUAGCCUCUCCUCCCUCUCUCCAUCCUCUAGUGCAUCCCACGAAUUUCAAGCAAGGCCAAAGAAGAGAAGAAGGAGCCGUGAGCAAUCCAUCCAUCAACCACCAUUGAAGACUUGCUUUCAAGCUUCAACGAUCCAAACGUCUACAUCUUCAUCUCCAUCAUCCAUCCACGGUGUGUACCCUCAAUCCCCGGAUUAGAUCGAUCCCUACUUGCUUAUACUAUUGAUGAUAUUUUAGGGUUAAAUUAUAUCCUUGCUUUGAGCGUAUCAGUUCAAACAAUUAAUUUUGAACUAUACUCUAAUUUUUUUUUUUUUUUUGUAACUAGAAAUUUCCCAAAUUUACAGAUUGCGUUUGAAAAUGGCUUAUUGCCAAUCUAUUAGAGACGAGAAAUCAAAUAAGCUAGGUGCAAUAUUGGAACCCGAGACAACAAAGGAGUAAAGCAUGCUUCUUAUCCCUCAUACUUGUAUGAGGACAAACUUUGCAAGUUAGAUUCAGUUAGAUGAACAUAAUUACUUAGGAAACAUAUUCCUCUCUGGCGUCAAGGCACUACCAAAUCUCUCUCUCUCUCUCUCGAGAACACAAAGGCUGCGGCGGCAAGGCACUACCAAAUCUCGUCUGAUGGCUCUCUGGCGUCGCCUCGACGUCGUGGGGAUGCUGCUCGACGGGCAACAUAUGGUUUAGACCUCUGGAAUCUCUUUGUCUGCGGUGUGACAGUUGUAGCUGGGCCUAUUCGGAUCGAGAUGGCUUUGGGGAUGGAGGUUUUGUGCGCCGGUUUCAAGGAAGGUGACGAUGGAGGCGGCUGGUUUCGCUCUAGACGACGGCGACCUUUGCGGCCAUCAUUGAUGGGGUUGGAGGCUUCGAUGCAGAGACCCUUACUUGUUUCGGGUUGGGGUCGGCAUGUGUUGCAGCUCGUCCUUCGUCUUCUGGGUGGUGGUGCAAGAUGGUUGGGAGGCUGAACGAGGCGGUGGCACAAGAUGGUUGGGCGGCUGAACGGGGCGGUGGCGCCGGUGAAGGGUCAUAACCGCGGCAGGUGUGCGUGGAGCAUGAAGGCCAUUGGGCUGUGGAGAGAAGAUGGGUUGGGCUUAACUGUUGGGCCUAGGCAGGAGAGCAGAUGGGCUGGGCUUACUAUUUGUCCCCUUACUUUGUUCAAUAAUUUCCUUUUUUUAAGGGAACUCUAUUUCCUUUGUUUUUAGGGUAACUAUAAGUUUCUACCUUUAGGCUUGCUUAUUUACUAUGUUAUUUCAUAGUCUGUAGGCUUGCUUGAAUAAGUGAGCAUGGGUACCGUCAAAUGAUCGGACUUAAUCUAUGUAUCGCUGUGAUUUUUCACAAACUCUUUAUCUACCCAGAGAUGGUAGAGGGAGGAUAUGUAAUGGUCCUUUCUGGCCUGAGUAUUAAUCUAUAUCGACAUGAUAUUCUUCAAAAAAAAAAAAAUUACUUGGGAAA